AUACGGAGGGUCCAAGCGUUAUCCGGAAUCAUUGGGUUUAAAGGGUCCGUAGGCGGGCAAUUAAGUCAGAGGUGAAAUCCCACAGCUCAACUGUGGAACUGCCUUUGAUACUGGUUGUCUUGAAUUAUAGUGAAGUAGAUAGAAUAUGUAGUGUAGCGGUGAAAUGCUCAGAUAUUACAUAGAAUACCGAUUGCGAAGGCAGUCUACUAACUGUAUAUUGACGCUGAUGGACGAAAGCGUGGGGAGCGAACAGGAUUAGAAACCCUUGUAGUCC
rnacentral:rRNA from 1 species